rnacentral:lncRNA from 1 species
UGCAUUUGAACUUCCAGCCGCAUUGGUGGCAUUUCUCUUCAAUUUUCCUUUCUGCACAGAUCUUGCAGGCUUAGCUAGCCUUGUUUUUGUACUAGGACCAGCUUCACUUGUUUGAGUAGUUUGCUGGGAUGAGACAACAAACCUGUUAGUUGCAUCAUAUUCCAAAAACAUUAACAUUUAUAACAUUAAUAAAUGUUCAUCCUUAGAUGUUUAUCUCAGCC